CGGGGGGGGCAAGCGUUGUUCGGAAUUACUGGGCGUAAAGGGCCAGUAGGCGGCCAACUAAGUCGGAUGUGAAAUCCCCAGGCUCAACCUGGGAACUGCAUCCGAUACUGGAUGGCUUGAAUUCGGGAGAGGGAUGCAGAAUUCCAGGUGUAGCGGUGAAAUGCGUAGAUAUCUGGAGGAAUACCGGUGGCGAAGGCGGCAUCCUGGACCGACAUUGACGCUGAACGGCGAAAGCUAGGGGAGCAAACGGGAUUAGAUACCCCGGUAGUCCUAGCCCUAAACGAUGAAUGCUUGGUGUGACGGGCAUCGAUCCCUGUCGUGCCGAAGCUAACGCAUUAAGCAUUCCGCCUGGGGAGUACGGUCGCAAGGCUG
rnacentral:rRNA from 1 species